GAUGAACGCUGACAGAAUGCUUAACACAUCAGCGACGGAUUGGUGGCGGACGGGUGAGUAACGCGUAAAGAACUUACCCCCCAGUUAGGGACAAGAUUGGGACACGAAUGCUAAUACCAAAUACUGUGGGAGAUCUUUGCGUCCCAUUAGCUAGUUGGGGGGGUAACGGCUCACCAAGGCGAGGAUGGGUAGCCGUUCUGGGAGGGUGACCGGCCAAAUGGGGAUUGGGAAACGGCCCUUACUCCUACGGGGGGCAGGAGUGGGGAUUAUUGGACAAUGGACCAAAGUCUGAUCCAGCAAUUCUGUGUGAAAGAUGAAGUUUUCGGAAUGAAAAGUGCUUUCAGUUGAGAAGCGGUACCAACAGAAGAAGUGACGGCUAAAUACGUGCCAGCAGCCGCGGUAAUUC
rnacentral:rRNA from 1 species